GCCAUCUUAACAGCAUUAUGGGCCCCGGGCAAAGCAGUGUACUGGGGCCCCUACGACAACUACAACUACGGUUAAUUUUGGAAGUUUUCCAAUUUUCCAAGGGUUAACAUACACAGAUUAGUAUGGGGGCCACGGGCAAGUGCCCUGAGGACCAUGUAUUAAGAUAACUCU